CCCUGGUUUACUCUCAUCCAUCCAGUAUUUAAGGCACAGUGCCACAGAUGCCAGAGUAAAUACAGACUGUGACAUUACACUAACUGGACAAGAACAUCUGCUCAAGCUUUUGAUUUGCAGGAUGAAGACUUUACAUGCAAUGCUGCUGAUGAUGUUUGUUGCAUCAGUCUUUUCAAAACCAUCUCGUCUGCACAGAAGAUCUGAUUCAUCAAACUCGGAGAGUUCGGAGGAAAAUGAUUCACGCGGAGGAUUGAACAUCGAGGAUUCACAGUCAGUCGAGAAUUCUGACAAGUCUAAUGAAUCUUCUGAGGAAGUUGUGCCAAGAACAAACCCUCCAGCUAGCACAAGAACAUGAAUCAUCACGACACGAGACAUCCCACAGUGUGUUACUAUGGAUCUGACAACUGAAAUAAUGGGCAAUAAAUAUAAUACCAAUAUAAUAUCUUGCAAUACUACUGCUUAAUCAUCUUUUCAUGCAAAAGAAAAAAGAAAAAAAAAAGAAUGUUUAAUGGUGUACAAUUCAUUAUGGUUUGCACUAAUGAUACUGAUUGAUGUAACCUUAAAAAAUUAAUUACUUUUAAAUUCAGAAUAAAAAAUC
rnacentral:lncRNA from 1 species